CUCUCCCUCUGACAGCAGCUUGCUGCGCAAAGCUGUUACAUGCAGGUUGGGUGGUCAUCACAUGUCUGACCAGCACCUGGUUCUCCUUUUUCAAUAACAGAUGUUCUGGUUUGCUUUGGCAAAGAAGCUGGAAAUACACAAAUUCUUUUAAAAAUGAAAUUACUUAUUUUGGGGGUUACAAUAUAAUAGCAAAACAUGAAAUAGCAGAGCCCACACUUCCAAGCAUCUGUAAACAGAGGUGGACGGUGCCUUUGUACUGUCCUGUCAGCUAGAACGUGUUUCCUGGCUGGAUGUAAGGACAUGGGGCUAGAACAUGUCUCCAUUAGCUGUAUGCGCUGGGAAUUCUUGGCAUGGAAGGGAAGUCAUCUCUGCUUUUGUCAGACCAAAUGGGGAGUUCUCCUUUCUCCAGAGGCCAUGAACAGGGAGAAGAUGAGAGAGAGGCAAGAGCAGGGGUACAGCUGGAAGGAGAUGCAUCAUUUGCCCUCCACACACUGGUCUUGAGACCAGGAAGAGCCUGGGUUUGCAUUUCAUUCUUUGCAGGUCCACGUAGAGAGACUGUCUUUUGUUAUAGUAUCCAGGAGAAGAAAUGGGAUCCCACUUUGAUGAAGCCAGAGACAACAAGUUCUUCCAUGGCCUUGUGAACUGGACAAAUGGAGAUGAAUCAUGGAUUGAAUAAACUAUUUGCAUUUGUGA